GAUGAACGCUGGCGGCGUGCCUAAUACAUGCAAGUCGAGCGAACGGACGAGAAGCUUGCUUCUCUGAUGUUAGCGGCGGACGGGUGAGUAACACGUGGAUAACCUACCUAUAAGACUGGGAUAACUUCGGGAAACCGGAGCUAAUACCGGAUGAUAUUUUGAACCGCAUGGUUCAAAAGUGAAAGACGGUCUUGCUGUCACUUAUAGAUGGAUCCGCGCUGCAUUAGCUAGUUGGUAAGGUAACGGCUUACCAAGGCAACGAUGCAUAGCCGACCUGAGAGGGUGAUCGGCCACACUGGAACUGAGACACGGUCCAGACUCCUACGGGAGGCAGCAGUAGGGAAUCUUCCGCAAAGGGCGAAAGCCUGACGGAGCAACGCCGCGUGAGUGAUGAAGGUCUUCGGAUCAUAAAACUCUGUUAUUAGGGAAGAACAUAUGUGUAAGUAACUGUGCACAUCUUGACGGUACCUAAUCAGAAAGCCACGGCUAACUACGUG
rnacentral:rRNA from 1 species